rnacentral:tRNA from 1 species
AUUGAGGUGUCUGAUUAAAGUAAUAAACUGUAAAUUUAUUUAUAGGUAAACCCUCCUCAAUA